rnacentral:lncRNA from 1 species
GCAUUGUUCAUCUUUCCUUAGCUUCGCAGGACCAAGCCAGACAAAGCCGAAAUCUCCCAUGAUACCUUUAAUUAAAUACGUUAUUCUAUUUCAUGCACUCGAGGAAAAUGGGUUCCGCUGGGAACCGGCUGGGACUUUUAAAGCCAACUUCAAGCAGGGGUUUGAAAUCUUAAAAGAGUGCCAAUUCUGAUCAUUUCUCACCGCCUCCCCCUCCCAAAUGCUAAACUGUAACCAACCCGAAGAUGAAUUUGGAUUCAGGCUGCGUGGAGAAACCUAAAAGAGUUCGAGGGAAGGAAAGUCACCUGUCCAGGUGAAAUCGUAGCUGUCUUUUUUAACCAAGCUUAACACCAGACAGUCCAAACUGGGUCAGCGUGAAAAAUCCACAGCGAUUGGAACGGGUUAGAAUUCUAACUGGCGUAUUUACGCAGCACAUUUGAAAUCCGACACAGGGGGGCACAUUCAGUGAAGGAUUGCGAUGCGUCCCGCAUGCCAGCUUGCGAUCCUCCACCUUGAGUGACAGGAGCCAGCAGAGGAAAAGGACACACGGACACAGACACACACACACGCCAAAGGCCUUCCCGGCAAGGGUGGCGUGCUGUGACCCCCAAAAUUGUCCAGCUCUUUCCCUUCGGAAAGGCCGGCGCCCAACGGGUGCGUUUCAUCUCCAGCGCUGCAGCUUCUGUCGCGAAGCGCUUGGCAACAAAAAGGAUCGCCGGUGGAUCCCAAACAUAGCAACGGCGGGGAGGAGGGAUCGAAAGGUCGGAGAAGAGAGCCGGGCGACUGGCGUGAAGGUCACAAAAGCGAAACAACGAAGGAGGGAAGGAGAAAACAGGAGGCUUGUCGGUCCAGGCUUUCGCCUCCUUCCAAGGCACGCGUGGGGAAGGAACGCGCCGAGCGCGCUCUGCACAGGCUCAGAGGACCGGCGGAGCUUUCCUCCAGCUGCAACGGCCCGGGGGAGAGCGGCGGAGGAGAGUCGCCCUAUUCCUGACCUCAUCGCCAAGAGAGGGACGUGUCCGGCUCUGGUGGGCCGGCGCCCGCGCCUCCCUCCGGGACGGGCUUCCCCCGUUGCCUGGCUGCGACGCAGGUGCUUAUUGAGGAAAGACACAAAUCCAGAGUCUCUGUUUUCAGUUACUUUUUGCUGCAAAAAUCAUGGUUGGAGGAAGUUUCAAGAUUUGCACGUGGGUGCAAACUGCCCACUUCACAAUUGGCUGAAAGAGGCAGUCACGCCCAGCUGCCUCGAUCUGGGGAUCAAAGAAAGAAAAAAAACAGCUACUUUUGUGAUUCUUGCAUUUGGUGCAAAACAAUAGGAGAAAAGAUUUUUAAAAGCCAUUAUAGCAAAAAAGAAUA